rnacentral:rRNA from 1 species
GAUAUUGCACAAUGGACGGAAGUCUGAUGCAGCGACGCCGCGUGGGCGAAGAAGGUUUUCGGAUCGUAAAGUCCUUUUCUAUGUGACGAGGAAGGACGGUAGCAUAGGAAUAAGUGUCGGCUAACUACGUGCCAGCAGCCGCGGUAAAACGUAGGACACGAACGUUAUCCGGAGUUACUGGGCGUAAAGCGCGCGUAGGCGGUAUGUUAAGUUACCUAUGAAAGUUAUCGGCUAAACUGGUAGAAGUUAGGUAAAACUGGCGUACUAGGGUGAAAUAGAGGGAAGUAGAAUUCCGGGUGUAGUGGUGAAAUGCGUAGAUAUCCGGAGGAAUACCAGUGGCGAAGGCGGCUUCCUGGAUUUCGACCGACGCUGAUGCGCGAAAGCGUGGGUAGCGAACGGGAUUAGAAACCCCGGUAGUCCACGCCGUA